GUGACAGCACACUCCAUGCAUGGGGACUUCAGAAGCACCAAGGCCACUGCAUGAUGUUCCACUGAGCCCCUGUGGCCGGCUGCAGAGGCCAAGGACUGAGCUACAGCUGAGGGCAGAGGGUCAUCUUCCAGCGCCACGCAGACACAAAGCGUGGACAAUAAAAGAUGCCAGAGGAAGAACACGCUCCCUGCAUGGGACCAGAGACUCUCCAAGGAUACAAGGGACGGCUGUGAGCGUGUCCCAAGAUCUAAGGCACUGCAGGGAGAGCCAUCUCUGCAAGAAGCAAUGUCCCCAGGAGAAAGAGGAGUCCAGGAUCCCAGAGGAAAGGACCAGAGCGUUGUUCCCUCCUGCAGUCUGGCCCUGCCUAUCCCAUGCUCUGUCCUGCUCUCCCCUGGCCCACAAGCCUUGCU